rnacentral:rRNA from 1 species
GACAGAGGGUGCAAACGUUGCUCGGAAUCACUGGGCGUAAAGGGCGUGUAGGCGGGACGGUAAGUCGGGCGUGAAAUCCCUAGGCUCAACCUAGGAACUGCACUCGAAACUACCAUUCUUGAGUGUCGGAGAGGAAAGCGGAAUUCCUGGUGUAGAGGUGAAAUUCGUAGAUAUCAGGAGGAACACCAGUGGCGAAGGCGGCUUUCUGGACGAUAACUGACGCUGAGACGCGAAAGCGUGGGGAGCGAACAGG